rnacentral:rRNA from 1 species
CCUACGGGAGGCAGCAGUGGGGAAUCUUAGACAAUGGGCGCAAGCCUGAUCUAGCCAUGCCGCGUGAGCGAUGAAGGCCUUAGGGUUGUAAAGCUCUUUCAGUGGGGAAGAUAAUGACUGUACCCACAGAAGAAGCCCCGGCUAACUCCGUGCCAGCAGCCGCGGUAUAAUACGGAGGGGGCUAGCGUUGUUCGGAAUUACUGGGCGUA